GUCAUUGCCAUGAAAGCUCCUGUAGACACAGUAACCAGAAACACAACCAGUCUACCAGAGGAAAAUGGGACCCCACAGCAUCCCAUGGCUUCAUCUGAGGGUUCUGGCCCUCUGGAAGGAGAGCAAGGAGGGGACACCCCAGACAAACGCAUUAAAAAGCCGCCACCUUACCACAUUGCUGCUGUCAUGUCAAGGCAUGCAGCGGACUUCCAAGAGGCGAGUGUUGAGGUGUCGUCUUCACAGGGAACAAAUGCACAGGGAGGGGCUGGUCUAACUGUCAAGGAUCUGCCAGGCUCACAGCAGCCAUUAACUGUGUCAUCAACCACUGCCAUUGGUGAGGAUGAAAACAAUGACACGAGUAGUUCCAGUGACAGUGGCUAUGGUAAUGGGAAAUCAUCAAGUCAGCAAACUGCCGAAGAACAGCAGUGCAGUGAUUCCUGUUCAAACUCACCAUCCUCACCACAGAAUCUGACAGAUUCCAGCAUCACCAUGCCCUCCACCCCCACCUCACCUUUGGGGAGUGCAGGAUCAGCUGCACCAUCCUCAAAAUCCUUCAUGGUUGCCACUUCCACGAGGCCCCCAAGUACCCAUUUGUCGCCCAUCACCACCACAGGGUCUCUUCCAUCAGACCGCCACUCAUAUGCUGCUCCACAGCAUACCUCCUCACCACUUGUGCAAGCCUCUAUGGGACAACAUAUAUAUUCUUCAGGCCAUUUGUCAUAUUCACAAAAAAUGCAGACUAACACUACUAUGACUAAUGCUCGCCCAGCCUCCAUUGCGGCAGGGCAGCAGCUGGAGAACCAGAAUAGUGGCUCUGUGCAGCGGCCUGGGUCUUUGGCUCUCGGCACGCUAGCAGAUUCAGCACUUCUGAACCGGCUGCCUAGAGACCAUCGACCAGGGUCUUUGGCAGCACCCAUCAAUACUGUUGGAAUCCCACCUGCUCCAACAAGGGCUGUGUCUCACAUGGGAUUGAAUGUCUCUAGUCCAACAAGGGCACGUGAUCCCACCAUGUUCAGGAGUCAAGAUUUGUCGCGAGCUGGACGCGGAUUGUCUGUAGCAGAGGAGCGUUUCAGUGGAACUGCUGGUGCUCGUCAGGAGAGUAAUGGUCUUGUCUCCAUCAUUGACCAGGUAACAAGCAGUUUGCUGGAACAUGGCGAUAGUCCCCCUCCCAAGACUCCAGUGACUCCUAGUGCUCCUUCUUCGACUUUUCCUACCACUUCACCCACAAUAGCAACACCUCCAUCCAAACUGGCAGGCACCCAAGUCACCAGUGAUAGGAUACCCUUAUCAGCAUCUGAGUCUACAACAUCAGAAUCCUAUGUGACUAGUGAUACAAGUGGCAGGUCCUCCCUCUCUUAUCAACGUGGUGUGGGUUCAUCCCUGACCAGCAGUGGUGGACUCACCAACUUCACUCAAGACCAACCUCGUGGUGAGGUUUUGCAUCCAACUCCACAUCGACCACAUGUUAUCUCUCCUUCAGGCUCCAGACAUGGAUUAGACUCUCUGCAAGACCCCAGUGUGGGUACUCCAGAUAAGGUAGCAAUGGGAGUCUCUCAGCAUAUUGAGGCUGGGACUUCCCCUCCCAGAACAGCACCUAAGCCUCAGUCAAGAAUCCCAGCACUCAAUCCAGAGAGUUAUCCAGCUGUUACACCUGGUAAAGCAAAUCAUAAGACAAGCUUUGACUCUCAUGCUAGUCACAGUCCUGCUCAGAUGACAGAAUCUCGUAUACCCACUUUAGGCAACAUUGGCCGUUCUCCCAGUAACUUAACCAGUGAAAGAUCAAAUGAGAGUCAUGUCUUACCUGAGUCAAGAAUACCAACCCUUGGUGCCAUGGGAAGAAGUCCAAGCAGUCUCAAUCAUGAAAGUAAGGCAGAAAGUAGAAUUCCAACUCUUAAUAACAUGGGACAUAGUUCCUCCAACUUACUACAUGAUAAGCAGACUUCAGGAGAAUCACGAAUACCCACUCUUGGAAGCACAGGGAGAAGUCAAAGCAACCUUGGUCAUGAAGCACCAACUACGCCAGAGUCUCGUAUUCCAACAAUAAGUGCAGUGGGUAGAACAUCUAGUAACUUGACACGUGAAUCCAUUGGGUUGAAAAAGCCAGCCAGCUCACAUGAAGGAGUCACAAAACCUGCAUCAAAUCUUAACACACCACAGCAGCUUAGAACUGCUGGGAUGAAUGGAUCAGGUAUUCCAAGUUUAGCCUCACAGGGGAGAAGCAGUAGCAGCUUAGGAUCAGGCAUCCCAAGUCCAAGUCCAACUUCUACAGGGUUAAGAACUGGCAUCCCCAAACAUGAUGCAACAGAUGGGCUAACCAAGAAGUCAUUGGUGUAUGGAGGAACAAGCCAAGUGUCCUCCACAUCUCGCCUCCAGUCCCCAAGUUAUUCAAGUGGUAUUAGGCCCCCUGCCUAUUCAUCGGCUAGUCCUCUGCCCAGUCCAGCCCAGCACCCAUCAAGCAAUUUUACCCAGUCCCCAGGUUAUUCAUCUGGCAUCCGACCACCCUCUAUCAAUUCGGCAAUUAACACCCCAGGUAUCCCACUGCCUUCUUCAGGAUCAACAAGCCACCUGACCAAUCCAGGGUCAAGAGGGUCAAUCACAUCAACAGGAUCUGGUACUCGUAUUCCAAUGGUUGCAGGAAAUUCUGCAUCAAGACUCCCUGCACCUAAUGCCAACAAGCACCGUGUGUCUCCAUCAGCACAAAAUGCAGAUAACAAAACAAACAAUUCAGCGUGGAUGUUUGGCCAGCACAAAAAUGCCCGUGUGUCCAGGAAGGUCUGGAUUCCUGAACGAAGAGUGUCCAAGUUUCACCUCAAAUGUUCCCGGUAGUAAUAGAAAAAAAUCCAGGCCUUGGCUUUACGAUUGGGCUGUCAGAUUCUGAUGCAGAAGAUAAGAGUAUUUAUGUGACGAGUGUCGCAGGAGGGGGGGCAGCUUCCUCAGCCCUCAAAGUUGGGGACAAGUUGCUGC
rnacentral:misc_RNA from 1 species